GUGGGCAGACGGUGGCCAAAGGGCAGCGGCAGUUUCGGGAAGUUUGGAAAGCUCUGACACCCAGACGCCUCCCGGACAGCGACUCUGCGUCUGGAAACGCAGAGGAAACACAGAGUGGAGACAGCACUGGCCCACCAUCAAGAGCUGUUUUCAAAAUUCUGUUUUGUCAUAGGAAAAUAGGGUGGGGCCCAGGGCUGUUUCUCAAUAAUCAUCACUGUGAUUGUCAACUGCUCUCCAAAGGGAUGCACGGAGGUGUUGUCAGGUUUGGUAAUUCGUUUGGUUCAAGGAAUUUCUUCAUCUCAUCUAAAGCAUUUGGGAUCUUAGUUCCCUGACCAAGGAUCCAACCUGUGCCCCCUGCAGUAGAAGCAGAGGACGAACCACUGGAUCAGGAAGGAAGUCCCAUUAAAUUGUUAAUGUUUUUUGACUGCUUGAUCUGCAAGAGACUCUGCAGGAACAAUAUCUGACCAUCUUACUUUCCAGAGGAAAAGUAAGCUCUCUGGGGCUUGCAGCAGCCCUCCUGAGAUAUGUCAUGUGUAAAGAUAGGUUUUGAAAUGCACCUUAAAAAACUUGAUAUUAUUAAUUGAAGUUUGGCAAGUAUUUAAAAAUAAAUUAGAUUGGUUUCAAAGUUA